CAAACCUUGCUGACUGUUAAACAAAUAAUCUCUCUUUAUUCAGAAACAUCCAUGAAAGAAAUCUUGGCAAUUAGAAGAUAAUAGCAGUCUUGCAAAAGUCUACUUAAAUAGUGUGGAGACGAGAUGGGAACAAACAAAGAAAAAGGAAGAGGAGGGAGAAAAUGGAGAAAGGAAAUGACGAAGAAGAACAAGGGGGAAGAAAGGAAGUACUCCCUGCCCAUGUCUGCCAAUAGGCCAUUCGUGUGUCGUAACAGGUUAUGAUGAAGCUGACAGAAGAUGCAUAUGAGAAGAGCCUUUGAUCUCAACAUCCCUCCGGAUGCUUAGCAAAUAUACAGCUGUCCAGGCUAGUGAGCUGGUGAGCACGAGGCAGAGCACAGGUAAUUGCAACCAUCAGUAAUGUCAGGGAAACACUGGAUCAGUGGUCUUCAAGCCUGGCACCAUAUCAGAAUCACCCUGGGAGCUCUGAAAACUCCAUGUGUCCAAUGACCUCAGUUUCUGGGGGCGACACUCAGACAUCUAUAUUAAAAAGGACUCAUCCAUCAUUGGA